AGAGUUUGAUCCUGGCUCAGAAUGAACGUUGGCGGCGUGGAUUAGGCAUGCAAGUCGAAUGCGAAAGGGGGAACCCCAAGUAGCAUGGCGAAAGGGGCAGUAAUACCUAGGCAACCUACCCUCAGGCUCGGGAUAGCCGGCGGAAACGCCGAGUAAUACCGGAAGUCGUUUGAAGGAGGCAUCUCUUUCUCAUGAAAGGUCCGCCGCCGGAGGAGGGGCUUAGGUCCCAUCAGCUAGUUGGUGAGGUAACGGCUCACCAAGGCUCGGACGGGUAGGGGGUGUGAGAGCAUGACCCCCGCCACUGGCACUGAGACACUGGCCAGACUCCUACGGGAGGCUGCAGUCGAGAAUCUUCGGCAAUGGGCGCAAGCCUGACCGAGCGACGCCGCGUGCGGGAAGAAGGCCUUCGGGUUGUAACCGCUGUUGGGAGGACCAAACCAUGAGGGAAUCCCUGGAACACGGCUAGAGUCGUGCAGCAGCCGCGGUAAGAC
rnacentral:rRNA from 1 species